AGAGUUUGAUCAUGGCUCAGAUUGAACGCUGGCGGCAGGCUUAACACAUGCAAGUCGAGCGGUAGCAGGCCUUCGGGUGCUGACGAGCGGCGGACGGGUGAGGAAUGCAUAGGAAUCUGCCUAUUAGUGGGGGAUAACACGGGGAAACUCGUGCUAAUACCGCAUACGUCCUACGGGAGAAAGCGGGGGAUCUUCGGACCUCGCGCUAAUAGAUGAGCCUAUGCCGGAUUAGCUAGUUGGUAGGGUAAAGGCCUACCAAGGCGACGAUCCGUAGCUGGUCUGAGAGGAUGAUCAGCCACACUGGGACUGAGACACGGCCCAGACUCCUACGGGAGGCAGCAGUGGGGAAUAUUGGACAAUGGGCGCAAGCCUGAUCCAGCCAUGCCGCGUGUGUGAAGAAGGCCUUCGGGUUGUAAAGCACUUUAAGUGGGGAGGAAGGUUAGUGGUUUAAUACGCUACUAAAUUGACGUUACCCACAGAAUAAGCACCGGCUAACUCUGUGCCAGCAGCCGCGGUAAUACAGAGGGUGCAAGCGUUAAUCGGAAUUACUGGGCGUAAAGCGCGCGUAGGUGGUUUUGUAAGUUGAAUGUGAAAUCCCCGGGCUUAACCUGGGAAUGGCAUCCAAAACUGCACGACUAGAGUAUGGGAGAGGGAGGUAGAAUUCCAGGUGUAGCGGUGAAAUGCGUAGAGAUCUGGAGGAAUACCGGUGGCGAAGGCGGCCUCCUGGCCUAAUACUGACACUGAGGUGCGAAAGCGUGGGUAGCAAACAGGAUUAGAUACCCUGGUAGUCCACGCCGUAAACGAUGAGAACUAGCCGUUGGUCUCCUUGAGAGGUUAGUGGCGCAGCUAACGCGAUAAGUUCUCCGCCUGGGGAGUACGGCCGCAAGGUUAAAACUCAAAUGAAUUGACGGGGGCCCGCACAAGCGGUGGAGCAUGUGGUUUAAUUCGACGCAACGCGAAGAACCUUACCUGGUCUUGACAUCCACGGAAUCCUGCAGAGAUGUGGGGGUGCCUUCGGGAACCGUGAGACAGGUGCUGCAUGGCUGUCGUCAGCUCGUGUUGUGAAAUGUUGGGUUAAGUCCCGUAACGAGCGCAACCCUUGUCCUUAGUUGCCAGCGAGUAAUGUCGGGAACUCUAAGGAGACUGCCGGUGACAAACCGGAGGAAGGUGGGGACGACGUCAAGUCAUCAUGGCCCUUACGACCAGGGCUACACACGUGCUACAAUGGCCGGUACAGAGGGUUGCCAAGCCGCGAGGUGGAGCCAAUCCCGAAAAGCCGGUCGUAGUCCGGAUUGCAGUCUGCAACUCGACUGCAUGAAGUCGGAAUCGCUAGUAAUCGCAGAUCAGAAUGCUGCGGUGAAUACGUUCCCGGGCCUUGUACACACCGCCCGUCACACCAUGGGAGUGGGUUGCACCAGAAGUAGUUAGCUUAACCGCAAGGGGAGCGAUUACCACGGUGUGAUUCAUGACUGGGGUGAAGUCGAAACAAGGUA
rnacentral:rRNA from 1 species